GGUGUGUACUGGUCUUGAUGGAAGCUUACCUCUUGGUGGGUCGGCAUGCCCUUCGUUGGGUGUGUCGAUUAACCAGGACUUUUACUUUGAGAAAAUUAGAGUGUUCAAAGCAGGCUUUCGCCCGAAUACAUUAGCAUGGAAUAAUAGAAUAGGACGCGCGUCUUUAUUUUGUUGGUUUCUAAAUUCGCCGUAAUGAUUAAUAGGGAUAGUCGGGGGCAUUCGUAUUGCUUGGUCAGAGGUGAAAUUCUUGGAUUCUAGCAAGACGAACUACUGCGAAAGCAUUUGCCAAGGAUGUUUUCAUUGAUCAAGAACGAAGGUUAGGGGAUCGAAAACGAUCAGAUACCGUUGUAGUCUUAACAGUAAACUAUGCCGACUAGGGAUCGGACAAGCACAAUCUAUGACUUGUUCGGCACCUGAAGAGAAAUCUUUAAGUCUAGGUUCGGGGGGGAGUAUGGUCGCAAGGCUGAAACUUAAAGGAAUUGACGGAAGGGCACCACCAGGUGUGGAGCCUGCGGCUUAAUUUGACUCAACACGGGGAAACUCACCAGGUCCAGACACAAUAAGGAUUGACAGAUUGAUAGCUCUUUCUUGAUCUUGUGGUUGGUGGUGCAUGGCCGUUCUUAGUUGGUGGAGUGAUUUGUCUGGUUAAUUCCGAUAACGAACGAGACCUUAACCUGCUAAAUAGACCCGGGGCCUUAGGGAACCGGUUGUCUUCUUAGAGGGACUGUAGG
rnacentral:rRNA from 1 species